CGGAGGGUGCAAGCGUUAUCCGGAUUCACUGGGUUUAAAGGGUGCGUAGGUGGGCAAGUAAGUCAGUGGUGAAUCUCCGGGCUUAACCCGGAAACUGCCAUUGAUACUAUUUGUCUUGAAUACUGUGGAGGUCAGCGGAAUAUGUCAUGUAGCGGUGAAAUGCUUAGAUAUGACAUAGAACACCAAUUGCGAAGGCAGCUGGCUACACAAAUAUUGACACUGAGGCACGAAAGCGUGGGGAUCAAACAGGAUUAGAUACCCUGGUAGUCCACGCCCUAAACUAUGGAUACUCGACAUUUGCGAUAAACUGCAAGUGUCUGAGCGAAAGCAUUAAGUAUCCCACCUGGGAAGUACGAUCGCAAGAUUG
rnacentral:rRNA from 1 species